rnacentral:lncRNA from 1 species
UGCAGGAUCCUCGAGCACUAUGUGUGUGUGCUUGCAGAAAGUGAACGGGGCCCCCAAGCCCUUCUCCAUCUAAACCAACACCUGGUGAAGCUCCUAGAGCUGACAAUUUGAUGCUCCCAAGUACUGUGGUCUCCACUGGAUCUGCGAAGACAGCAGGCUGUGCAUUUGCUUCCCUCUGGUGGUAGGUCCUGGAGUGAGCCUGGGGACUCUGUGUCUUCCUCUAACACUGGAUGAAUGGGUGCCUUCCAGCUUCACUCCCAGAGGGUUCCCAGACACCUAGCCCAGAAGGUAAGCUCAUUGUUUCAUUGGCCACUGAUCAUAACAGUGUCUAACAUUUGUAGAAUGCUUACUCAUUGCUCUACACUGUGCUACAGACUCUAUAGAAGUGUGUCAUUUGAGCCAUACAACAGGGUAAGGAAGUAGGGACUGUUACUAGUAUUCUUGUAGACAGAAGAGGGGUGGGGCCAUGCUAGAGAGAAAGAAAAUAGCCCAAUUAAUGAAUUUGGGAACUAGGAUCACACCCUGGGUCUGCUGCCAAAGGGCCCAGGCUCUUAACCUCUGUGCUGUGCUGCCUCCCACACUGCAAGUGGAGUCUGAGAUAUGUUCAUAUCCACACACAUGGCCCUCACCCACAGAGUACCUUGCAUGACCGACUCCCAGUAUUGAAGCUGUAGGCUGGUCAGUGUGAAUGCUUAGGUGGAGGCAUCUGUGGGCGUACAGUAGGUCUCAUACAAGUAUAUAAACCCAGUAUAGGAACAUAGCCUUUAACAUAGCACUUUAGAACCUUAUGCAGAUCAAGCCCAGGAUGGCCAGCCACCUAUUAUUCCAAGCAUGGAAAAAGGAAAGACCAUUUUGCACUCUAUUGUGGUCCCUCCCUUGAUGGGAUCCUUGAUUUGUCCCAUGCUUGAGCAGAGGACAGCCCCCCCCCCCCCCGCCAGAGCCAGUGCCCAGCAUAGCUACCGACAGCCUUCCCUGAACAUCUGAUAAAGAGGCUCUUGCUAGGGAAUCCCAUUACUAUGACCACAUUGGAUGUGGCCCCUUUAGAACAGGGGGAGGGGAAAUAGCCUAAUUUCUGUCAAAUCUGUCUGAUCUGCUUGGUGAAAGAGGAUGGCUGGACUGAUUCUGAGUAAUUAUCAGUUCAUCUUUAGAUAAAGUAAAGAUGAGCUCUGUGUACAGGGUUUCCACCAAACUCAAGUGUUCAUGUCUUUUUGGCUAACUGGGUCUCUUUGGUGUUGCCAUUGCCAGGGAUUGUGGGCUUUCUUGCUCUCGCUCUCUCUCAGAAAUAAAUAAAUAAACAUUAAAAAAAAAAAAAAAGAGCUGAUUCUGAAUAUAGAGAUAAAACCAGAUUUGGGAGAUGAUAGCCUGUCCUGCCCUAAUUGUUCUCUUUCUGGCACCUGUGAAAAACCUUGAUGCUCCCUGACAAUGCCUUCUAAUGAGGUCCCUGAGAGCUGACUCAUUGAAUCCUUUUGGAUGGAGUGGAAGGCAAACCUUUUGCACUGUGUUUUCUGCUGUAUGGCAACAGGAUAUACCCAUGCUGAGGUUGCAACCCAGGCGAUGGAUACCAAGGAGAGUCUGGUCCCUCAGGGGAUCUAAAGCAAAGUGCACUUAUCCUACAAUUGCUUUCAGGAAGGCUGGUCUUCACAUACACAAGGUAGAAGACAGGCAUUCUUUCUAGGAGGAGAGUAUGCAUGCUUAGAAAGGAGGUUGGUUAAUGGUUUUAAGAACUGAAAUACAGAGUGAAGGGCCUUAGGCUUCUCACCAUAGGAGCACUCUUCUCUCUUUACUAAUACUUAGACCACAAUUUGUCCCUGCCACAAUCAGAAAUCAAAAGCCGUAGGUGUCUUAAUUACAGGAAACAUUGUAUAUCCAGUGCUUCUGACCUUACACUGAAGGGGAGUUUAUUUUUAGCUAACAGGCAUUUAACCUUUCUGGAAAGUCUUUGGGGUGUUUGUUUCUCAGAGGACAUGUGAGGAGUGGCUUCUAACCAGUUAUUUUCUGACUGACUUUAGCACCAUGUGCUGCACUUGCAUGGAUUUGAAGUCCUCACCCUCAGAUGUUGCUCCUGAGGCCACAUCAGACAAAGAAAGGCAAGUGAUGGUGACACUGCGGGCCCAGAGACUGACAGGCGUUGGGAAGGAAGAGCCCGCCCACGGGACACCUCCCUGGUACUUUAGGUGAUAACCUGCAAUGCAGUCACCCCACCAAAGAGUGGUGGACGGGACUGGGGUUAAAUAAAACUUACAGAAAAG